rnacentral:rRNA from 1 species
UACGUAGGGCGCAAGCGUUGUCCGGAAUUAUUGGGCGUAAAGAGCUCGUAGGCGGUUUGUCGCGUCUGCUGUGAAAACCUAAGGCUCAACCUUGGGCUUGCAGUGGGUACGGGCAGACUAGAGUGCGGUAGGGGUGACUGGAAUUCCUGGUGUAGCGGUGGAAUGCGCAGAUAUCAGGAGGAACACCGAUAGCGAAGGCAGCUCGCUGGGACGGUACUGACGCUGAGGCGCGAAAGCGUGGGGAGCGAACAGG